UCCGGACGGCAGUGUUUCGUCAUCCACGCUGUCGCGCUUAACGCUACAUACCACGUUUUUGUGACUGCCAAGAACAAGCUCGUUGACCAAUGGAGCAAGCCAAGCAACGAGAUUACUGUGACUACACCAAGUGCUGGAGGGGAGCGGACUUGCAUUAUAGUUCCCGAUCCACCGAGAGAAUUGUCUGCCACAGACAGAACAGAGCAUAGUAUCAGGGUAGAAUGGAAGGAGCCGCUGCGCAAGA